GAAGAAAGAUAGCGGAAGGAGAGACUAGAGAGAGAGAGAGAAGGGGCGCAGAGGCGUUGACUCCUGCGAGGUGCAUCGAUAUAAGACCUCACAGUAUGUUAUGCAAUCUUCCAAGCUUUGCUGGAACAACCAGAGUAUGAAGUCUCCAUGUGAUGCUAAAACAAUGUAAGGCUUGCCCAUUUAGUUGGAUGCACAAUAUAAAGCAAAGUAAACCUCACUGUUAUUCAAUGCUUGUGAAAUAUUAAUAUUACAUUUUAGUGGUAA